AUUUUUUAUUCAUCAAAUUUAAAUGAAACAACCAUUGUUGAAUCCUCUAACCUCCUAGUUCUAGUUUAAGAAAAGAACCUAAAAACUAAAUAAGCAAUGACAGACUCAAUUUCACACAGACGGAACAUAUUAGAAAUAAAUUAUACUUAUUCGAGGUUCUAAGCCGUAUACGAGAAAUUUGGGAAUAGACCCUCACCUUAGAAAAAUGUAAAAGUAGUAGCUAUGAACUCCAGAUGCUCAAAUAGAAUCCAAAUCUAAAAUCAGGGCGAAAAAAAAAGAGCCAUAACGCCC
rnacentral:lncRNA from 1 species